AGGACAGUGUAUGGUGGGCAGUUUGACUGGGGCGGUCUCCUCCUAAAGAGUAACGGAGGAGUACGAAGGUGCGCUCAGACCGGUCGGAAAUCGGUCGCAGAGUAUAAAGGCAAAAGCGCGCUUGACUGCGAGACAGACACGUCGAGCAGGUACGAAAGUAGGUCUUAGUGAUCCGGUGGUUCUGUAUGGAAGGGCCAUCGCUCAACGGAUAAAAGGUACUCCGGGGAUAACAGGCUGAUACCGCCCAAGAGUUCAUAUCGACGGCGGUGUUUGGCACCUCGAUGUCGGCUCAUCACAUCCUGGGGCUGAAGCCGGUCCCAAGGGUAUGGCUGUUCGCCAUUUAAAGUGGUACGCGAGCUGGGUUUAGAACGUCGUGAGACAGUUCGGUCCCUAUCUGCCGUGGACGUUUGAGAUUUGAGAGGGGCUGCUCCUAGUACGAGAGGACCGGAGUGGACGAACCUCUGGUGUUCCGGUUGUCACGCCAGUGGCAUUGCCGGGUAGCUAUGUUCGGAAAAGAUAACCGCUGAAAGCAUCUAAGCGGGAAACUUGCCUCAAGAUGAGAUCUCACUGGGAACUUGAUUCCCCUGAAGGGCCGUCGAAGACUACGACGUUGAUAGGCUGGGUGUGUAAGCGUUGUGAGGCGUUGAGCUAACCAGUACUAAUUGCCCGUGAGGCUUGACCAU
rnacentral:rRNA from 1 species